GCUCACCUUCGCCAUCUCCUGGUUUUCCUUCUGCUUUUUCUUCCGGCACUUCUCGGCUGCGCGGCGAUUCUGUGCCUUCCGCCGCUCCUUCUUAUCCAGCUCGUAAGGGGUCAGCUCCUUGAAGGAAAUGGGCCACUAAAGCCGACGAGCACGUGGGAACAUUUGCAACAUCUCACUGCAUUGACUACAUUUUCCUACAGAGACACUCUCACGUCCAUCUCCGAGAAAGUCCGAUAAAUGAGGACGCCCUAAGAGUGGGGCUCGAACACGAGAACUAAGCGGGCACUUAGUCCACUACGCCACCGCGACCUGAUAAAUGUGUUCAUGCAAUGAUAAUACACGAUCUUUAAUCUCGCCGGAAAUCGAAAAAGCAGAACAUUCCCGGUACCGAUUUUUCCACGACAGACAGUGGUGAAAGCGAAGAGCAGUUAGGCGAUGAUGGUUUAUUUAGAAUGCCGACAUUGCGCAUCGGCACCUUGCCAGAAACUGGUCAACAACCUGACGGUGUUCGGGGACGCAUUAAUUAAGACACACCGGUCGGACCUAAUGAGGCUUUAAUUAGUGCAAACUGAUCAGGGUCAGUUGAGGCUAGGCACGUGACGUAGAAGCAUUGAUAGCACUGCGUCCCGUUUAAUUAUGCUGGACAUCAGUUAAGUGCUGUCACAGCAGAGAAAGUACUUUUAUACUUGUAGUUAUCAGUCAUAGAUAUUUUUUGGAGGAAAUGUUACUGAUUUUAAAAGUUAAAACAAUUUUCACAUGAGGUAGUUAACACACUUCUCACUAGAAAGUCUGAUAACUCACAAUGCUAAAAAUAUAUGUAUGAAGGGGAUGUAAGAUGUACAUGAAAAUUAUGUUGUUCAGUUUUUGUAAAAAAAUGAAUUAUUUUGAUAUAAUCUACCGAGAUUAAUAACAUGUCUACUGCUUAUAUAACCAAUUGUAAUUUUCAUUACCAAGAAGUCAGUAUUGAGACUGUAUUUUUAUUAUUAACCAGUCGGGUCUCAAAUCGGCAAUCCUUCCACAAAUUAUGUCAAUCAACUUUGACGUUUUUAUAUCAUUGAUAUUGAGGCAAAAAAGAAAUACGUAGAUAAAAUGUUUUAGGACAGCUUCAUUAUAAACACUUAAUCAAUGAGAACUGAUGUACUUAUUACCCAAUAAAUAUAUGUCAUCAUACGUUGUAUGUAUAUUUUGAUUGUAGCCUGAAAAAUAUUCAGUAAAUUUCAUUCCAUACACAUAAUACUUACUUGACGAUGUAGAACAAGUAAAAUCUAUGACCAUG